GGUUCUAUAAUGUAAUGGUUAGCACUCUGGACUCUGAAUCCAGCAAUCUGAGUUCAAAUGUCAGUAGAACCU
rnacentral:tRNA from 1 species